AGGUCAUCAUCUUUGACAUCUGCAGCAACUCUAACUCACCAUGAAGAUGCUAGCUGUGUCUGUACUUGUUGUUGCCAUGAUGGCUCUGACUAGGGGUGCUUCUCUUUCAGACUCAGAGGCCUCUGCUGCGACAGAAGCAACAAUUCAAGAAAAUUCAGAGGCCGCUCCUGCAACAGAAGCAACAAUUGAAGAAA